CAUUCAAUAAGCGGAGGAAAAGAAACCAACAGGGAUUGCCCUAGUAACGGCGAGUGAAGCGGCAACAGCUCAAAUUUGAAAUCUGGCUCUCGGGCCCGAGUUGUAAUUUGUAGAGGAUACUUUUGAUGCGGUGCCUUCCGAGUUCCCUGGAACGGGACGCCAUAGAGGGUGAGAGCCCCGUCUGGUUGGAUGCCAAAUCUCUGUAAAGUUCCUUCAACGAGUCGAGUAGUUUGGGAAUGCUGCUCUAAAUGGGAGGUAUAUGUCUUCUAAAGCUAAAUACCGGCCAGAGACCGAUAGCGCACAAGUAGAGUGAUCGAAAGAUGAAAAGCACUUUGAAAAGAGAGUUAAAAAGUACGUGAAAUUGUUGAAAGGGAAGCGUUUAUGACCAGACUUGGGCUUGGUUAAUCAUCUGGGGUUCUCCCCAGUGCACUUUUCCAGCUCAGGCCAGCAUCAGUUUUCCCCGGGGGAUAAAGGCGGAGGGAAUGUGGCUCUCUUCGGGGAGUGUUAUAGCCCACCGUGUAAUACCCUGGGGGGGACUGAGGUUCGCGCAUCUGCAAGGAUGCUGGCGUAAUGGUCAUCAACGACCCGUCUUGAAACACGGACCAAGGAGUCGUCUUCGUAUGCGAGUGUUCGGGUGUCAAACCCCUACGCGUAAUUAAAGUGAACGCAGGUGAGAGCUUCGGCGCAUCAUCGACCGAUCCUGAUGUUCUCGGAUGGAUUUGAGUAAGAGCAUACGGGGCCGGACCCGAAAGAAGGUGAACUAUGCCUGUAUAGGGUGAAGCCAGAGGAAACUCUGGUGGAGGCUCGCAGCGGUUCUGACGUGCAAAUCGAUCGUCAAAUAUGGGCAUGGGGGCGAAAGACUAAU
rnacentral:rRNA from 1 species